GAGACGCCGCCACCAAUCUCGCCGCCAGGUCCGUUGACCCCGAAGCAUGAAUUAUGUCCGUGUGUUGUUCCACUCUGUCGGCCUUCGUUUCUUACUGAAAUCCAUAGGCUGAUGCAAUGUAGCUUUAGCCUUUACUGCUUGUGAAAUCUUUGCCAGAAACUUAUCCGUUCCCUGAAUAGGCUGUAAACGCUGUAAGAAAACAUGAUCAUUUCCCUUCUUACUGAAGUCCAUAGUUUGAUGCAACGUAGCUUUAGCCUUCUUUUCCUGAACCUUUUCCGUUUCUCUAGAAUGGGGCUGCGGCUUGUUGAUCUAAAAAUAUCUUACUGAAGUAUUUUGGAAGUAAUCAUUGAUAAAUGCAUCAGCUUCUAUGGUCUAAGAUGCAAUUGCUUUUGUUAAUUCAGUUUCCUCUUUCAUACUAAUACUUGGGUGUGCUUACUGAAUUAGUCUUAGCUGAAGAGUUCUUGUGUGGCAAGUCAACACUCAAUGUCUGAAAUUUACAUGGAGACAUUAAAUUUAAUAUUACAAUAACGUCUGUUAUGUGUGGUUUCCAUGCGGAAUAUGCAUAAUCUUCUCAUAUAACAGUCCACACUGCUUUAUAAAUUGGGAUGUUAAAAUUGUCAGUUGGAUUACCAUUUUUGGAUAACUUCUGCAGUCCAUUAAUUUGUAAUUUCAGAAUUCUGUCAUAAUAUGCUCCUCUUAAUUUUUCAGUGUUCGGCUUGUUGAUGUAGUAAAGACAGCUAUGAUUGAAUCAGGCUGCCUUUUCUACUUAUGAACGGUUUACUAUUGCUUUUUCCUUAAAAGAUAUGUUUGAAACAAACAUAACAGGACAAAUAUAUCAACUAUCAUGUUCAUAUGAUAUGGCUAUUUGAAAAUUUAUUUUCAUUAUGAAAUUUCAUGACUGCUGAAUGUAUGAGAGUUGCUUGACCUAUCGCUUGAAACAACAUAUCCAUUUUACUGACGGGUGUUGAUCGACUCCGCCAUGUUUCUUUGUAAGACAUGAUUUUACUUGACUAGUAACAUGAGUCUUAUUUUUGUGAUUGCGGUUUUUGGACAUGGAUGGUCAAGGUGCUGGCAAGGAGGAGGGUGAAGAGUAUCACCUCGUGGUUAGCAAGACCUUCAGAAGUGAGGACGAAGGAUAUGAGUUCUACAAUGAAUAUGCAAAAGUCAAAGGGUUCAGUAUUAGGAAUGAGGAGGAGUCCUCCAUGACUGUUGAUGCACAUCGCUGAUGUUCUCUUCAUUCCCCGGAUAGUAGCAUCAAUUAAGGCAUUCUGUUCUUUUGCUUCCUCCAAAGCAACAGACAUGGAAGUCAAGCUCUCAGUCAGCUUAGUUGUCUUUUGCUUGUAGACAUGGAUUUCCUGCAGGGACUCGUACAGACAGCUCUUCAUUGAACUUGACUCCCUUUUGAACUCCAAGAUCAGCAAUUCUUGGCGGGUUGCACUUUUACGUGAACUAGUUGUUGGUAAAACUGAAUGUAAUUGCAAGAGUGAUUCUACUUGCUUAAUUUAAUUGGUACUCAUUCUGCUGUCAAAUAAUUUGAAAUGUAAUAUUUCAGUCCGUUUGUAAACUGCGUUUAGCCAAUUUUACUCCUAGGCAUUGGUUUA